UCACCACACCUUAUGUUACAUAUACCCGAAAAAUGACGGAACUGUCUUCAAGCAUUCCACAACCUCCUUAAAGUUUCUAAUCUAAGGUAUUAAAAUAUUUGCAGUUUAAACCAUUCACUCUCAAAGGAUACUGUGUAAAGUACGGUAUGUACAGUGGAACGUUGCUAUAAGGAACACCGCUAUGCCGAACAUUCGGCUAUACUGAACAUCAUCUUUGGCUAUAGAGUUUUGUGUUUCAUAACGUACCAAACAUUGUUGUUGAAAGCUGUCAACAGAAGAGUGAAAAGUGGCUAUAAUUUCCCCAAGGAAUAAAAGGGACAAAGCCACCCGUAUAAGCGAAAACACUGUGUAAUUUCGUGAUUCAACAGUUGGCACGUGUAUACCGGAGCACUGGCAGCUUAAAAUCGCUGUACCGAACGAUCACCAUUGCAAACAUUUUCUGUGGAUCCUGCCAUGUGCAUUAUAGCGACGUCCAACUGUAUGUACUGUGGCUUGGUCUGUUCUUAAAUUUGACUGGUCUGAAGCUCUGCCUUUAAACUACAGUGCAAGGGGAAUCUAGGUUUGGGAAAAAAGGGGGGUGUAGCUGCCAAGGGGAGGGGGGGUAGCAGGCAUUUGCUGUGUGUUUUCUGCAUGAUUUUCCUAUAUUUUUAUGGCCCUGGGGAGGGGGGGGGGGUUAGACUCCCUAAACCUCCCGUGGAUCAACCACUGGAGAAUGGCAACAAUGGGCGAUUCCAGUGCUGUGUAAUGUCCGUGACAGAACUGUUAAGUGCUCUGUGAAUUAACCUGAAAAUUAUUUCCCUACCUAC